AUUUAAAGGGAUUAUUAAAUUUAUAUAUAUAUAAUUAUUUUAAUUAAAUAAAUUUUAAGUUAGAUUAUUAAUAGGAAAAAAUUUUUAUUUAUUAUAAUGAACUAGUAUUGUGAGAGAAUUUAUUAAAAAAUUAAUAAGAAAAAUUUUUUUUGUACCUUGUGUAUCAGGGUUUAAUAAAAAAUAUUUAAUUAAAUUAAUAUUCUCGAAUUAAAAAGAGUUAAUUUUUUAAUGAAUUUAUUGUGGGAUAAAUAUAUUUAAUAAGAAAUUAGAAAUGAAAUGUUAUUCGAUUUUUAAGUUUUCUAGUUUUUAAAGAAAAAAAUUUAAUUUUUUUAUAUUUAAAAUGAUUUUAAUUUUGAAAUUUUAUUUUAAAUAGGGAUUAUAUAUUUAGGGAUGAGCUUAAAUGUAGAAUAUUAAAAAUUUAUAAAUAAUAUUUUAAAUUUAGGAUUAUAAUUGUUUAUUUUUAAAAGGAUGUUAAAAUUAAUAAAUUUUAUAAAUAUUAGAUUUUUAUAAAUUUUAAUUUUUUUAUUUAAAAGAGUUAUUUAAUAUAAUAAUAAAUUUUAUAAUGUUAAAAUUAGUAUAAUAUUAUAUAUUAUUAAUUUAUUUAAAAGGUAAAUUUAAGGAAUUCGGCAAAAUUAUUUUUCACCUGUUUAUUAAAAACAUGUCUUUUUGAUUAUAAUUUAAAGUCGUCCCUGCCCCCUGAAUUGUUUAAAUGGCCGCGGUAUUUUGACCGUGCGAAGGUAGCAUAAUCAUUAGUUUUUUAAUUGAAAGCUGGAAUGAAAGGGUUGAUGAGAAAAUAACUGUCUCAAAUUUAUUUAUUUAGAAUUUUAUUUUUAAGUUAAAAAGCUUAAAUUUAAUUAGAGGACGAUAAGACCCUAUAGAGUUUAAUAAUUUAAAAUAUUUUAUUUUUUAGAAAUUUAAUUGUAAUUUAUUUAAAAUUAUUUAGUUGGGGUGAUUGUAAAAUUUAUAAAACUUUUAUUUUUGAAAACAUAAAUUUAUGAAUAUUUGAUCCAAAAAUUUUGAUUAUAAGAUUAAAUUACCUUAGGGAUAACAGCGUUAUUUUUUUUUAGAGUUCUAAUCGAAAAAAAAGAUUGCGACCUCGAUGUUGGAUUAAAAUUAAAUUUUGGAGUAGAAAUUGAAAGUUUAGGUCUGUUCGACCUUUAAAAUUUUACAUGAUCUGAGUUUAGACCGGCGUGAGCCAGGUUGGUUUCUAUCUUUAAUAAAUAUUAAUAUUUUAGUACGAAAGGAUUGAAU
rnacentral:rRNA from 1 species